GAUGAACGCUAGCGGCAGGCCUAAUACACGCAAGUCGAACGAUAGAAGAGGGCUUGCUCUCUUCGAAAGUGGCGCACGGGUGCGUAACGCGUAUGCAACCUACCUUAAUCAGGGGGAUAGCCCGAAGAAAUUCGGAUUAACACCGCAUAAAAUCACAGUACAGCAUUGUACAAUGAUCACAUAUUUAUAGGAUUAAGAUGGGCAUGCGUGACAUUAGCUAGUUGGCGGGGUAACGGCCCACCAAGGCGACGAUGUCUAGGGGAUCUGAGAGGAUGACCCCCCACACUGGUACUGAGACACGGACCAGACUCCUACGGGAGGCAGCAGUAAGGAAUAUUGGUCAAUGGAGGCAACUCUGAACCAGCCAUGCCGCGUGCAGGAAGACAGCCCUCUGGGUCGUAAACUGCUUUUAUUCGGGAAUAAACCUACUUACGUGUAAGUAGCUGAAUGUACCGAAGGAAUAAGGAUCGGCUAACUCCGUGCCAGCCGCCGCGGUAA
rnacentral:rRNA from 1 species